CCCUUAGAUGUUCUGGGCCGCACGCGCGCUACACUGAUGCAUUCAACGAGCCUAGCCUUGACCGAGAGGUCCGGGUAAUCUUUGAAACUGCAUCGUGAUGGGGCUAGAUUAUUGCAAUUAUUAAUCUUCAACGAGGAAUGCCUAGUAAGCGUGAUUCAUCAAAUCGCGUUGAUUACGUCCCUGCCCUUUGUACACACCGCCCGUCGCUCCUACCGAUUGAGUGUGUUGGUGAGGAGUUCGGAUUGGCUCUUAGUGGUGGUUCGCCACCACCUAGAGCUGAGAAGUUCUCCAAACCGCCCCACUUAGAGGAAGGAGAAGGCGUAACA
rnacentral:rRNA from 1 species